rnacentral:rRNA from 1 species
AUGAACGCUGGCGGCGUGCCUAAUACCUGCAAGUCGAGCGAACAGACGAGGAGCUUGCUCCUCUGACGUUAGCGGCGGACGGGUGAGUAACACGUGGAUAACCUACCUAUAAGACUGGGAUAACUUCGGGAAACCGGAGCUAAUACCGGAUAAUAUAUUGAACCGCAUGGUUCAAUAGUGAAAGACGGUUUUGCUGUCACUUAUAGAUGGAUCCGCGCCGCAUUAGCUAGUUGGUAAGGUAACGGCUUACCAAGGCAACGAUGCGUAGCCGACCUGAGAGGGUGAUCGGCCACACUGGAACUGAGACACGGUCCAGACUCCUACGGGAGGCAGCAGUAGGGAAUCUUCCGCAAUGGGCGAAAGCCUGACGGAGCAACGCCGCGGGAGUGAUGAAGGUCUUCGGAUCGUAAAACUCUGUUAUUAGGGAAGAACAAAUGUGUAAGUAACUAUGCACGUCUUGACGGUACCUAAUCAGAAAGCCACGGCUAACUACGUG